rnacentral:rRNA from 1 species
AUUGAACGCUGGCGGCAGGCCUAACACAUGCAAGUCGAGCGAGCGGCGGACGGGUGAGUAAUGUCUGGGAAACUGCCUGAUGGAGGGGGAUAACUACUGGAAACGGUAGCUAAUACCGCAUACCAUCAGAUGUGCCCAGAUGGGAUUAGCUAGUAGGUGGGGUAACGGCUCACCUAGGCGACGAUCCCUAGCUGGUCUGAGAGGAUGACCAGCCAAACGGGAACUGUGAAACGGUCCAGAUUCCUACGGGAGGAAGCAGUGGGGAAUAUUGCACAAUGGGGGCAAGCCUGAUGCAGCCAUGCCGCGGGGAUGAAGAAGGCCUUCGGUUUGUAAAGUACUUUCAGCGGGGAGGCGUUACCCGCAGAAGAAGCACCGGCUAACUCCGUGCCAGCAGCCGCGGUAAUAC